GUGCUCACUUCAUUAGCACAUGUACUAAAAUUGGAAUGAUACAGAGAAGAUUAGCAUGGCCCCGUCACAAGGAUGACAUGCAAAUUCAUGAAGCAUUCUGUAUUUUU